GCUCUCUGUUUUAGCAACAUCUGUUUUCCUGCUGGAUCAAGGAUGUUGGACCAGAGAGAGAAUCAACUUGUACUAUGCCGUGAACAAUCCAAUUUCCCCAUCCUCCUUAGAGAUCAGGUCAGAUAUUAAGACAUACAUUUAUACUGGCAUGAGGGGUUACAAAAAUGUGCAUUACUAUUACACCUAGGAGCCCUAUCCAUGGACCAGGACCUCAAUGUGUUCAGCUCUAUGCAAACAGUGGUAAAAGAGCCUACACAGGAAGAGAGACAGACUGGAAAGUAUAAGGAAACCAUGAAAUAUAACAUGAUAAAUAUACUCUGAAAUUAUCACUCCAGUUCAAGUUUAAAUGUCUACACUGAAGAAAGCUUACUUACAUGGUCAGGAUACAAAGGAUGAUCUAAGCAGUCUAUCACAUACCAUGUAGUGUCUUUGGGGAAAAAAACCCCACCACUUCCUUCCUAGCCAGUGGCAGGAGCAGAUACUAAAUCAGGUUGGACCUCCAGGGACUGGCACCCUUGAGACCAGAGCGGUCCCAGACCAGGAAGUUUGCUGAACCAGGGGGAGGUUUCCUGGAACUACGGGCAUUCAUCAUCCAGACCUUAAAAGGUGUCCUGACAAGAACUGGCCAGGGAGAGGCAAUAAGAUGAAAGUCACCCUCACCAGUUCCUGAAUCUCAAAACUGAAUUGAGUUUUUCCCUUUCUAAAAACUUUACAGCCAAAUGGGAAAGCAGCAAGGGAUGCUGCAAAAAUGAAAUCAUAUUUUGUAUUGUAUAUUUCAAAUACUUUUUUGUAUUUUAAUAAAAAAGGUUAAGAUUUUUUUAUAGGUGUUUGUGCCGCAGUACCAGGCUUAAGUAUCUACGGUCUUCCACAGUAUUCUUGCCAGCAAGUUAAAGUAUGGAUUGGAUGAAUUAACUAUAAAAAGGUGGACAGGAAGUUGGCUGAAUCAUAAGGCUCAACAUCCCAAUGUCUAGUUGGCAGCUGGUAUCAAGCAGAGUGUCUUGGGGCUGGGAUGGAUUUAACUCAGCAAGUUUGUGGAUGAUACUAAGCUGGGGAGGUGUAGAUAUACUAGAGGGUAAGGAGAAGAUCCAGAGCGACCGAGACAAAUUGGAGGAUUGGGCCAAACGAAAUCUGAUGAGGUUCAACAAGUGCAGGAUUCUAUACUGAGCAUGAAAGAAUGCCAUGCAUUGCAGAACAGCAACUGGGAAUUACAGUAGAUAAGAAUCUGGAUAAGAGUUGGAGUGAUUAUUACCCUUUAUUCAGCCCCAACUUGCAUUACAGAAUGGAUAUGGACAAAUCUCAGAGUCCAGCAGAUGGCAACAAUGAUUAGGUGGCUGGGGCACACUACUUAUGAGGAGAUGCUGAGGCAAAUGGGCUUUUUUAGCCUGAAGAAUAAAAGAGUGGUGUGGGAGAGUGGAUAGCAACUUUCAGCUAUCUGAAGGGGGAUUUCUAAAAUGAUGGAGCUUAGUGGCAGAAGACAGAACAAGGAACAAUCGUCUCAAGCUGCACUAAGGAGGUCUACAUUAGGGACAUUAAAAUAAAUUUUUGUAAACGUGUAACCACUGACAUUUUCAGCAGUUACAUAUUUACAUUUGGGGGGCAGGCAGGUGCUGGAUGUUUUUUAGCCUGUUCUUCCCCCCUCCUCCAACCACCAGCUCCUGCCUGCCCUCCUCUGUGCUGCUGUCUGUGGGAGGUGGCUCUGCAGGAGCCGGUACGUGCAGGGAGCAGACUGAAAAGUAGACUGCACACAAGCACCUGGCACCAGUCUUCCUCACCCCCUGCUGCUUCUGAUAGAGAGGUAGGGGAGCGUGGGUGUGUAACCGUGAGGUUUAACUAAUGAGCCCAGGCUUAUUGGUUAACUGUGUACACAUUAACAUCCCUAGUCAAGGUUGGAUAUUAGGAAAAAAAAUAUUUCACUAGGAGUUUGGUGAAGCAGUGGAAGCUCCAUUCUUAGAGACAGAUGCUUUUUGGCCCAGUUUGACAAAGCCCUGGCUGGGAUGAUUUAGUUUGGGUUAGUCUUGCUUUGAGCAGGGGUUGGACUAGAUGAGGGCCUCUUCCAACUCUAGUAUUCUAUGGUAUGUAUAAGUCUCUGGACCUUGCUGAACUCUGUUUAACCCUGCUAAAUGGAGAUUGGGCUAAACCAUUAGCCCUUUUAAUCAGUCUCAAUUGAGUGUUUGAGAUGUAUGGAUGAAAGUUACAGAAACAAGUCAACAACUAGGUUAGGAAAUCUUAUUCAAAAUAUUACUAGCCUAAGGAAUAAGUUUCCUAGCCAGAAUGAAAUAGAUGUUGGUUUUGCCAUACAUCAUCUUCAUAUGAAGAAUUGUUUUCUCCCAAACCAUAAGGACUUGUCCUUUAAUUCUAAAUGGAAGCUCCAAUGCUGCCAAGUAUUAUUGCCCAUAGGUUUAUGGAUGUUGCCAGUACAGAUUAUGUGACACUUUACAACAAGUCUAGAUGACAUUGUUAAAAACGUCUUCAGCACUCUGUAUGAACUAGAACAGUGGUUCCCUACCUGUGGACUGCAGACCCUUGGUGGUCUGGCAACAGUACUGCAGGGGGGUCCAUGGGCAGUUUA